UUCCCCAAGGCCGACUGUUAGAUGAAGAUCAGCGUAAUGAGCUUAUCGGAUUUUCAGAGAGGUGGUGCAUGGCCGUCGUCAGUUCGUACUGUAAAGCGUUCUGUUAAGUCAGAUAACGAACGAGACCCUCAUCUCUAUUUGCUACCUGGUUCUCCGGAACCAGCGCACUAUAGGGAGACCGCUGGUGUGAAACCAGAGGAAGGGGAGGGCAACGACAGGUCAGUAUGCCCCGAAUGUCUUGGGCUACACGCGCGCUACAAAGGGCAGGACAAUGGGAUGCUAGGCCGAGAGGCAUUCAAGCUAACCCGAAACCUGUUCAUAGUUCGGAUUGAGGGCUGUAACUCGCCCUCAUGAAGCUGGAUUCCGUAGUAAUCGUGUUUCAAUAUAGCACGGUGAAUAUGCCCCUGCUCCUUGCACACACCGCCCGUCAAACCAUCUUAGUUGGGGGUGGGUGAGGCUGCGCUUUAUGGCGUAUUCGAGCCUGCCUUCGACAAGGAGGGUUAAGUCGUAACAAGGUAGCC
rnacentral:rRNA from 1 species